UUUUCUUCGUCUCUUUCUUUCACUGUUCGGUGUGGAUUACAGUUGCAUCAACAUGUCACAGUUGUGAGUUCUUCUGCAUGCACGCUUGCUUGGGUUCAAAGCUGAUUCCUAUCGAUAAGAACAAGAAGAAGAUGAACAGUUGUGAGUUCUUCUGCAUGCAUGCUUGCUUGGGUUCAAAGUUGGUUCUUAUCGAUAAGAACAAGAAGAAGAAGAACGGUUGUGAGUUCUUCUGCAUGCAUGCUUCGGUUCAAAGUUUGUUCUUAUCGAUAAGAACAAGAAGAAGAAGAAUAGUUGUGAGUUCUUCUGCAUGCAUGCAUCGCUUCAAAGUUGGUUCUUAUCGAUAAGAACAAGAAGAAGAAGAACGGUUGUGAGUUCUUCUGCAUGCAUGCUUCGGUUCAAAGUUUGUUCUUAUCGAUAAGAACAAGAAGAAGAAGAAUAGUUGUGAGUUCUUCUGCAUGCAUGCAUCGGUUCAAAGUUGGUACUUAUCGAAAAAAACAAGAAGAAGAAGAGCGGUUGUGAGUUCUUCUGCAUACAUGCAUCGCUUCAAAGUUGGUUCUUAUCGAUAAGAACAAGAAGAAGAAGAACGGUUGUGAGUUCUUCUGCAUGCAUGCUUGGGUUCAAAGUUGGUUCGUAUCGAUAAGAACACGAAGAAGAAGAACAGUUGUGAGUUCUUCUGCAUCCAUGCUUGCUUGGGUUCAAAGUUGGUUCUUAUCGAUAAGAACAAGAAGAAGAAGAACGGCUGUGAGUUCUUCUGCAUACAUGCAUCGCUUCAAAGUUAGUUCUUAUCGAUAAGAACAAGAAGAAGAAGAACGGUUGUGAGUUCUUCUGCAUGCAUGCUUGGGUUCAAAGUUGGUUCGUAUCGAUAAGAACACGAAGAAGAAGAACAGUUGUGAGUUCUUCUGCAUCCAUGCUUGCUUGGGUUCAAAGUUGGUUCUUAUCGAUAAGAACAAGAAGAAGAAGAACGGCUGCUGCUGCUGUAUAUUCUCGUCAUUGAUUUCUUCGGUCAUCCGAAGAAGAAGAAGAAGGACCUCGUAGGGUUUGCCACCGGAGCCGCCCGCCGUAGUGGUUGGUGUAGGUCUUGCCAUGGAGGGUGAAGGUGAUCUCUAUAGCGUCGAUGCUGUCGCCGGCGCGAAUCUUGAUGGUGGAGAUGCGGUCGGAGGGGCCCAUGUCCCAUGCCGACCCUCAGUUCCCUCCCCACGGCCCCACCUUGAUCUCUCCGUUCUGCAUCAUCAUCACCCAACACAAAACCCUAAUAAUUCACAGUGGAGCUCACCAUUUCUCCUAUGGAGAUGGGAACGUAUAUGUACUCCUUCCUUUCCUCCCUUCUUCCUCGUGGCUUUGGGAUGGGAAGGGGGAAUCUAUAUAGCUGAUUAAUGUGGAGGUCGAUCAUGGUCUUAUCCCAAUCGGGUCCAUUGCAAGCAAGGUCGUGUGGCUUUUCUUUGUCGGGUGGGCACAUCGACACCUCCCACGAGGAAAACGAGUCUGUCGUGAUGAGGUCUAUGCAUCCAUGUCGACGGUUCUAGAAAUAAUAAUACGUGGAUUGUGUUCCACUGACAUACCCACUUCUACAGUACGAUGAUUCGUACAUUUUAAUUCAUCCUAUCAACUUCGUACCCAACCGCGAUUGUUGUAAUGUAUAGAUUGGCAACGUUGUGAGAACUUUCUUUUCUUUCUUUUUUCUUA